GGACGAUGGUUGCCCAGCCACAAAGCACUCAAAUGUCCCUGCACACACGACUCGGUCAUUGACUCCCCUCUCCUCGCAUACAUGUGCAGUUCAUCGACUUGGUACCAAAAAAUUCUCGACCAAAGUUCUCCGCGAUGUUCCCAUGGCUUGGGCCGCCUUGCCUCUACCUAUCCUUCCUCAUCAUCUCCACGAUGCCGGCGCUGUUGCUUGAGGCAGCCUGCGAACCCGAGCGAUGUGGCAACCUGAGCAUCUCAGCCCCGUUCGGGGUCGUCUCGGGUUCUGAGGAGAACAGGUGCGCGCAGUUCGGGUUCCAGGUCCACUGCACCGACGGCGUCCCCUACCUCGGGUACUACAAGCCGGAGUACAGGCUUCAGAUCCUCGACAUCUUCUACAACAACGGUUCCUUGCUAGUCUCCGACGUCCACAAGAUCAGAGGCUUCAAUCUCUCCGACAAGAAAGGAUGCCAUGUCCCGACGGCCAGCACCGCCACCAAAGUCGGGCCUCCGUUCUCGAUAAGUCCUCUGAAUCAGAACCUCGUCUUCUACAACUGCACCAAGGUGCCGGCAGGCCAAGCAGGGCUGGUGGACACGGUGUGCCGCAACAACACUUUUGUCCGGGCGGGAGGACUGUACAAUGAGACGGGCAGGAUCGGCAGCGGGUAUGCUUUGCUGGGCUGCAACGCCUCAGUCGUGCCGGUGCUGGGAGCAACCGGCGAGGUGAACGCCAGAGACUAUGAGCAGCUCAUCAGCGGUGGCUUCCUUCUGACAUGGCAGUCGCCGAGUGGCGGUAGUGAUGCUGGAGUCCAGGAGCCAGACGCCACCGUCGACGACGACACCUACGACACUGGAGGUGCCUACUACUACGUGCAGGCCGCUGACGACGACCAGGAGUAGUUAGGAGGUCCCAGGCAGGAGGCCUUGCCUUUUCGAUCGUUGCUACUUUUGUGCUAGCCUUCUUAAGGCAAACUUGUUUAACUUAUGUCUGUACUCAGAUAUUGUUGCUUCCGCUGACUCGUCUAUGAUCGAGCACUUGUAUUCGAGCCCUU
rnacentral:rRNA from 1 species